CUCCCUGACCCCUUGCGCUUCCCAGGUGAGGCAAUGCCUCGGCCUGCUUCGGCUCGCGCACGGUGAGCGCACCCACUGGCCUGCGCCCACUGUCUGGCACUCCCUAGUGAGAUGAACCCGGUAUCUCAGAUGGAAAUGCAGAAAUCACCCGUCUUCUGCGUCGCUCACGCUGGGAGCUGUAGACCGGAAGCUGUUCCUAUUCGGCCAUCUUGGCUCCUGAAAAUCAGGUUUAUUUUUUAAUAAUGGCUGUGCUUUACAACAUAAGCUCUUGCAAGCCAAUAUGAACAGACUACAGUAUUUCACUGUGGCAGGCUGAAAGAAUGGCCCUCCAAAAAAAUAUUCACUUCCUAGUCCCCAGAAUCUAUGAAUACUACCUUAAAUGCAAAAGACUGAAUAGUAUUUUAUUUGGUGAAAGUGAUAUCUAAAAAUCCUGAGAGUAAACUCUUACCCUGGAUUAUGCGGGUGGGCCCUAAAUCUAAUAACAAGUGAAGUGUCCUUGUACGAGCAAGGCAAUGGGAGAUUCGACACAGACACACAUGGAGUGGAGAAGGCAAUGUGAAAACAGAGGUAGGGAUUGGAGCAAUGCAGCCACAAACCAAAAAAACAAAACAAGACCGAGUGCGGUGGCCCAUGCCUGUAAUCCUAGCACUUUGGGAGGCCAAGGCGGGUGGAUCAUCUGAGGUCGGGAGUUCAAAUCCAGCCUGACCAACAUGGAGAAACCCCAUCUCUACUAAAAAUACAAAAUUAGCCAGGUGUGGUGGCAUAUGCCUGUAGUCCCAGCUACUUGGGAGGCUGAGGCAGGAGAAUCACUUGAACCCGGGAGGUGGAGGUUGCAGUGAGCCGAGAUCUCACCAUUGCACUCCAGCCUGGGCAAUAAGAGUGAAACUCCAUCUCAAAACAAACAAACAAACAAACAAACAAAAAAGGAGGAAUGCCAGGCAGCCAGCACAUGCUAGAAGAAGCACGCGACAGAUUCUCUCCAGAGCCUCAGGUGGCAGCAUGAACCUGCCAACACCUUGAUUUCGACUUACCCCCAGAACUAUGGUUUUGAACCACCCCACUGGUGGAAGAUUGUCAAGGCAGCCUGAGGAAAUGGUUACGGGCCUGACGUUUCUUCUCACAUGGACCUCAGAUAUUUGCCUUGUCCUUAAGCAAACCAAAACCAAUGGCUGCCUUCUUUGCAGAGAUUUCUUCCUUUGGAUUAAAAGCUGGGUUAAAUCUCCUAUCCUUCCUAAGUCUUCCUAUCAGUCUCCAAACACUCCUUUUGGAGGGACUUACAUAGUUCAGAUUUUGCUAGAAUAAGCUGUUUGUUUAGUUCUCAAAUACACUGUAGAAUGAUUCCAUCACAAUUUCCAAAUUGCCUGGCAUUUUCAUAAACUCUGGAGAGGCUCCACCUUUUCCUUAACAGCAAAGACUUGAAAAAUGUUGUCCCUGGACCAGCAGUGCCAGUAGUACCUGGAACUUGACAGAAAUGCAGAUUCUUAGGCCACACCCCAGGCCCACUGAGUCAGAAACUCUGAGGGUGGGGCCCAGCAAUCUGUGUUUCAACAAGAUCUCCAGAUGAUUCUGAUGCUGGCUCAAGUUCGCAGCUGCAGCCACAAAUGGAUGGUUUCAGAGUCUGCUCAGGCUCUCAGACGCAGCAGCAGGCCAGGGGACCCAGGAUGAUGUCUGAGAGGUGGGGUGGGGCUAGCCCAGAGCUCCUGCACUGAGGAGGUUGCUCAGGGCUCCAAGCAUGUGAGCUGCACACUGCAGGAAUCAGAGCACAAGGAAGACACCAGCUCCUGCCAGGAGGGGCAGCCCCUCCAGCCUGGGUAGAGCCCUGCCGUCCAGAUGGCUCAGGCUAUGGGAACUUCUGCCCAUUCUUCCAACCGCGACUCUCGUCCAUCGGAGCACUCACUCUCUGGAUCAGCCACAACCUCUCUGGUGCCUUUGAAACACAGAGUGCCUGGGGGUGCAGACAGAGGAGGAUAAGCACUCAUGCUUCCUACUUCCACUCAGUUGAUAAUAGUCUGCCCAGCACGGGCCUACAGUAUGGCAGAAGUCAGUUAAACCUCAGACCACUGAGGCACGUGGGCUGGCUCCUCACAUCCCUCCAGCCUCAUGGGGGAUGAACGGGCCAAGGAGCUGCUUGGCUUCCUUCCAAUCUCCAGGCUCCCAACCCAACUCAGGGAACCCACAUCUGACAUUCCACUCAGGGUGGGGGCCGUGGCUAGGGGAGGAGGAGCAUCGCAUUCACCCCUCCAGGGGAGAGCCAUCGCCUGCAUCCUUGGCCAGGCCUUUCUGGACUUCAGGAUCCUUGUCUGCAGAACAAAGGGGUUUCAGCCAAGUCAGGAUGACUCAAAGUGCAUCUUGAGGAAUGCUGACAGACGUUACUUAACGCCUCUGUGCCUCAUCUGUAAAACAAAGAUAACAGCAACACAAAGGCCACAAAAAAACCAAAGGAAGGGCUCUUUGACAAAAUAAGUUUAGGAAGGGCUGCACUGAACAGGGCUCUGGCCUCAGGACCACAGAGCCUUCAGAUGCUGCUGUGGCCACAUCGCCAAGAUGCACCACACCCAGGGCCUCCACCUUGGAAACUUCUGAAGUCAAAGAUCUCAGGAUCCCUGAAGCAUCUGUCCAGCAUCACGGGAUGACAAGUGUCUCACUCCCACCUCUGGCUGAGUGUAGGUCUACCAGGCAGAAGGCAAAGCAGAGACUGUUAAACAGAAACUGGCUGAGGCCUAGAGGAACAGCAUCACUUGAUAAGGGUAUCCUUGGAAAGAACUGAGAACACAGGAAGAAGAGAGGAGAAAAGACAAAAAGUCAAAGUCAAAUAAACAUUGGUGACCUUAAGAGAAAUGCCUGAAAUCUCUAAAUCCAAACUCCCUUUUCCAAGGGCCUGAGUCUUGCCCAGGACACUUCUACAUUUCCACGCCCACUGAAUAUGCCAGGCAUGUUGGUUUAUUGCAGGCCCCUGUUACCUAUCUCCUACAUUAGGUUGUAAAAGAUCUAGCAAAAGGCACAGGGCCCAGAUGGUUUUAUGGGAGAGUGCUAUAAAACUUUUGAGGAAUAAAUGGUUCUUAUUUAAACUCUUACAAAGCAUUAAAAAGAUAAAAUAAAAUUCUGAAUUUAUUUUAUGAGGUAUGUUUAAAUUUAAUAGUAAGACAGCCAUGGAGUGCCCAAAAAGGAAAACCUUAUGAAUGUAUAUGCAAAGAUUCUAAGUAAAAUAUUGGCAAGUUAAAUUCUGCAGUUCCCAAAAUACUAACAUACCUCAGCCUAAUAGGUUUUUUCUGAGAAUGUAAAGAUUAUUCAGCAUUAGAAAAUAAAGGAGAAAAACUAUAUGCUCAAUAGAUAUUGAAAAGAGCAUUUAAUAAAAUUCAAUCCCCAUUCUUGAUUUUUGAAAAAUGGUUUUAGUAAGCUAAGAAUAAAAAGAAACUUCCUUAACUUAAUGAAAGAUAUUUAUCAGAAAUGAUUUCUUUAAACCUGACAAAACAUAAUAGAAACCACAGAGGUGUUCCCAUUAAAGUCCAGAAUAAGAUGUGGAUGCCUACUAUUGUUGCUAUUAUUACUCAAUUUUCCUCCAGAAAGCUCCCAACCUAAGUAAUAAGACAAUAGAAAUAAAUGAGAGGAGAACACACACACACUUAUGAAAUAUAAAUGUAAAAUUAUCAUUAUUUGAAAAUAUUAUUUUCUACUUAAAAACUAUAAGAUAUGCACCUAAAAUUCUAUCUAGAAAAAUCUAAUCAAGAAAAAGAACUCAUUCUCAAUAGGAGUAGAAAUUGCAAACUAUCUUUAAAAUGAGCUUAUUUGCUGAAGAAAACAUUAAAAUGUUACUAGAGGCCGGGUUCGGUGGCUCAUGCCUGUAAUCCCAGCACUUUGGAGGCUGGGAUGGGCAGAUGCUUUGAGCUCAAGAAUUCAAGACCAGCCUGGGCAAUAUGGCAAAAUCCCAUCUCUACAAAACAAUACAAAAAUUAGCUGGUCGCGGUGGUGUGCACUUGCCGUCCCAGCUACUCAGGAGGCUGAGGUGAGAGGAUCACUUGAGCCCAGGAGGUUGAGGCUGCAGUGAGCUGAGAUCUUGCCACUGUACUCCAGCCUGGGUGACAGAGUGAGACCCUGUCUCAAUAAACAAAAAAAUGUUGCUAGAGAUUAUCAAAGAAUAGGUGGAUUGAUAAACCUGAAUGAGAGCACUCAAUAUUCAAAUAAGUCAGAUUCCCACUAAUUAUAAAUUCUAUAUAAUCACAAUCAAAACACCAAUGGGAUUUUGAGGAUAAAAGGAGAGGGGUGGCAUGCUUCAUAGACUGACAUUAUCACAUGAAAGACAAAUGCACAAAAAUAGCAAAGGAAAAAACUAAAGUAGAAUAAAAAUAUGGGAACUCAGCCUACCAGACAGCAAAAAAGAAUAAAGUAACUUUAAUUAAAACACUGUCAUACUAAUGCAGGAACUGAAAAAUAAUAUCAGAACAGAGUUCACAAAUGGACCUCUGUGCAUGUGGGAACCUAAUAUCUGAUAAAAGUAUACUUUCACAGCAGUAAAGAAAGAAUGGACUAUGAAAUAAUGUUACAGCAACUAACUAUCCAUUUGAAGGGAAAUGAAACUUGUUAGAUCCCUAACUCACACCAUUCUCUGCUUAAAUCCAUAUAAAAUAUAGGUUUUAUAUAUUAAUUUAGAGGGAAUAUAUAUGAAAUAUAUGAAAAUAUAUAAGAAAUACUAUAUAAUAUAUAAGAAAUACUGUAUAAUACUAGAAUAAAACACAGAUUAUUUCAAUAAUCUUGAAGUGGUGACAGCCUUUCUAAGAAGGCAUGAAACUCAAAAGACUUAAAGGGAAGGAUAAACAAAUUUGACUACGUGGAAAUUAACAUUUUACACUUGGCAAAAGACUAUAAACAAAGUUAAGAGACAAAUUAGAGGCUGGAAGAAAACAUUUAUACCAAGUCAGCAGAGAAAAGAUUGAUCACACUUAUUAGAGUCAAAGAUUUCCAACAAAUUAACAAGCAAAGGGCAAACAUCUUAAAACAAA
rnacentral:lncRNA from 1 species